GAUGAACGCUGGCGGCGUGCCUAAUACAUGCGAGUCGAGCGAACGGACGAGAAGCUUGCUUCUCUGAUGUUAGCGGCGGACGGGUGAGUAACACGUGGAUAACCUACCUAUAAGACUGGGAUAACUUCGGGAAACCGGAGCUAAUACCGGAUAAUAUUUUGAACCGCAUGGUUCAAAAGUGAAAGACGGUCUUGCUGUCACUUAUAGAUGGAUCCGCGCUGCAUUAGCUAGUUGGUAAGGUAACGGCUUACCAAGGCAACGAUGCAUAGCCGACCUGAGAGGGUGAUCGGCCACACUGGAACUGAGACACGGUCCAGACUCCUACGGGAGGCAGCAGUAGGGAAUCUUCCGCAAUGGGCGAAAGCCUGACGGAGCAACGCCGCGUGAGUGAUGAAGGUCUUCGGAUCGUAAAACUCUGUUAUCAGGGAAGAACAUAUGUGUAAGUAACUGUGCACAUCUUGACGGUACCUAAUCAGAAAGCCACGGCUAACUACGUGCCAGCAGCCGCGGUAAUACGUAGGUGGCAAGCGUUAUCCGGAAUUAUUGGGCGUAAAGCGCGCGUAGGCGGUUUUUUAAGUCUGAUGUGAAAGCCCACGGCUCAACCGUGGAGGGUCAUUGGAAACUGGAAAACUUGAGUGCAGAAGAGGAAAGUGGAAUUCCAUGUGUAGCGGUGAAAUGCGCAGAGAUAUGGAGGAACACCAGUGGCGAAGGCGACUUUCUGGUCUGUAACUGACGCUGAUGUGCGAAAGCGUGGGGAUCAAACAGGAUUAGAUACCCUGGUAGUCCACGCCGUAAACGAUGAGUGCUAAGUGUUAGGGGGUUUCCGCCCCUUAGUGCUGCAGCUAACGCAUUAAGCACUCCGCCUGGGGAGUACGACCGCAAGGUUGAAACUCAAAGGAAUUGACGGGGACCCGCACAAGCGGUGGAGCAUGUGGUUUAAUUCGAAGCAACGCGAAGAACCUUACCAAAUCUUGACAUCCUUCGACAACUCUAGAGAUAGAGCUUUCCCCUUCGGGGGACAAAGUGACAGGUGGUGCAUGGUUGUCGUCAGCUCGUGUCGUGAGAUGUUGGGUUAAGUCCCGCAACGAGCGCAACCCUUAAGCUUAGUUGCCAUCAUUAAGUUGGGCACUCUAAGUUGACUGCCGGUGACAAACCGGAGGAAGGUGGGGAUGACGUCAAAUCAUCAUGCCCCUUAUGAUUUGGGCUACACACGUGCUACAAUGGACAAUACAAAGGGCAGCGAAACCGCGAGGUCAAGCAAAUCCCAUAAAGUUGUUCUCAGUUCGGAUUGUAGUCUGCAACUCGACUACAUGAAGCUGGAAUCACUAGUAAUCGUAGAUCAGCAUGCUACGGUGAAUACGUUCCCGGGUCU
rnacentral:rRNA from 1 species